AAAAAGAUAAAUCAUGAGUUUUCAUGUUCAAAGUUUGACUGUCCAUCUUAUAUAAUUUUUUUAUAAUUAGUAUUUUAAUUAUUGUUAGAUGAUAAAACAUGAUUAAUAUUUUAUGUGCGAUUUGUCUUUUUAUUUUUUUUCAUAAUUUUUUUAAAUAAGACGUCAAACGUUGGAUACGGAAACCUAGGGUUUGUCUUUUU
rnacentral:pre_miRNA from 1 species